rnacentral:rRNA from 1 species
ACACAUGCAAGUCGGGCGGGAAAGCGGGGGCAACCCCGCAAGUACAGCGGCGAACGGGUGAGUAACACGUAGGUAACCUACCCUCAGGACUUGGGAUAACCUGCCGAAAGACGGGCUAAUACUAGAUAAGACCACGGGGGCUUCGGCCUCUGCGGUAAAAGGUGGCCUCUGCUUGCAAGCUACCGCCUGAGGAUGGGCCUGCGGGCCAUUAGCUAGUUGGUGGGGUAACGGCUCACCAAGGCUACGAUGGCUAGCUGGUCUGAGAGGAUGGCCAGCCACACUGGGACUGAGACACGGCCCAGACUCCUACGGGAGGCAGCAGUGGGGAAUAUUGCGCAAUGGGCGAAAGCCUGACGCAGCGACGCCGCGCGGGUGAUGAAGGCCUUCGGGUCGUAAAACCCUGUCGGGAGGGACGAAACCUCGGCGACCUAAUACGUUGCCGACUUGACGGUACCUCCAAAGGAAGCACCGGCUAACUCCGUGCCAGCAGCCGCGGUAAUACGGAGGGUGCAAGCGUUGUUCGGAAUCACUGGGCGUAAAGCGCGUGUAGGCGGCCUCUUAAGUCUGGUGUGAAAGCCCGGGGCUUACCCCCGGAAGGGCACUGGAUACUGGGAGGCUAGAGUACCGGAGAGGAGGGUGGAAUUCCUGGUGUAGCGGUGAAAUGCGUAGAUAUCAGGAGGAACACCGGUGGCGAAGGCGGCCCUCUGGACGGCUACUGAC